rfam:Drosophila parabipectinata CG5835, CG11779, nos, CG5558 genes for hypothetical proteins, partial and complete cds.
GUCAAAGCUCUGGCAGCUUCUUAAGCGUUUAUAUAGUCAGAAAUAUAUAUGCGCGAUCAU